AGCGACAGGCCUAACACAUGCAAGUCGAGGGGCAGCACAAGGAGCAAUCUGAGGUGGCGACCGGCGCACGGGUGAGUAACACGUAUGCAACCUGCCUGUAAGCGGGGAAUAACCCGUUGAAAGACGGACUAAUACCGCAUAAUACUAAAUUACUGCAUGGUAAUUUAUUUAAACAUUUAUGGCUUACAGAUGGGCAUGCGCAUGAUUAGCUAGUUGGAGAGGUAACGGCUCCCCAAGGCAACGAUCAUUAGGGGUUCUGAGAGGAAGGUCCCCACACUGGUACUGAGACACGGACCAGACUCCUACGGGAGGCAGCAGUGAGGAAUAUUGGUCAAUGGACGAGAGUCUGAACCAGCCAAGUCGCGUGCAGGAAGAAUGUCCUAAUGGAUUGUAAACUGCUUUUGCAGGGGAAUAAAGUGCAUCACGUGUGAUGUUUUGUAUGUACUCUGCGAAUAAGGAUCGGCUAACUCCGUGCCAGCAGCCGC
rnacentral:rRNA from 1 species